rnacentral:rRNA from 1 species
GACGAACGCUGGCGGCGUGCCUAAUACAUGCAAGUAGAACGCUGAAGGAGGAGCUUGCUCUUCUGGAUGAGUUGCGAACGGGUGAGUAACGCGUAGGUAACCUGCCUGGUAGCGGGGGAUAACUAUUGGAAACGAUAGCUAAUACCGCAUAAGAGUAGAUGUUGCAUGACAUUUGCUUAAAAGGUGCAAUUGCAUCACUACCAGAUGGACCUGCGUUGUAUUAGCUAGUUGGUGGGGUAACGGCUCACCAAGGCGACGAUACAUAGCCGACCGGAGAGGGGGAUCGGCCACCCUGGGACGGAGACACGGCCCAGACUCCUACGGGAGGCAGCAGUAGGGAAUCUUCGGCAAUGGACGGAAGUCUGACCGAGCAACGCCGCGUGAGUGAAGAAGGUUGUCGGAUCGUAAAGCUCGGUUGUAAGAGAAGAACGAGUGUGAGAGUGGAAAGUUCACACUGUGACGGUAUCUGACCAGAAAGAGACGGCUAACUACGUG